CAGAGAGUAGUUUAAUAAAAAUUUUAGUUUUGGGAAUUGAAGAUAAAGUGUUCAUUUUCUCUCUGA
rnacentral:tRNA from 1 species